UUCGUGGUGCGUUCGGAUUAUUCUCGCGCUGUUUCGUUUCACUGAAAAUAUUUCGUGCUGCUACCGGCUGACAGACUUUGGUUUCGGCCUUGUUGUUUUGACUAGUUGAAAUGCCUUCUCGGAGCGAAUUCAGUUGACUUCGGGGGAAAGAAGGGACCGCGUUGAAGCUUUCGCUGGAUGAGCACUCCUUUCAAGCCCGAAAAUGUGCGGAGCGCCUCUUGGCCUAUCAGACAAGGAAACAUCUGUACACAAUUGGCAAGGCACCAUCUACAUGGCACGCCUUCUGAAGAAGCUACCACAAGUCAUACAACAAGCAUUAUAAGGACUGCUAUGCAACGACAGGAUAACUAUACCCCCAAAAGUCCACUUUGCAAGAACAGUGAAACAUUUGAACAUCUACUACAGUUCAGAUGAGGCAGAUGCACCCAAGAACGAUGAGAUAACAGUCCUGCUGUGGAUCUAACCUCCAGGCCCAGUGACGACAAAGGAUGCGUGGCUUUCAUUUUUGGGGGCCCAUUUUCUCCGUAUAUUACUGAAGAACAUCUUUAACUCAUGCAUAGCCAAGUAGUUCAGCACCUUCAUGAAGGUGUAAAAUUCAUGGAAAGGGCAACUUGAGAGAGCUCAAGACUGACCAUUAUCUAAGGUCCUACCAUGAAGUGGCACCAGUUUGACAAACUAAUAAACUUGUGUUUACUGGUCGGU